AGCCUCCUGAGCGUACCUGGUCCCGGGGCCGCCGAGGAGCAGCCUCGAGGAAGCCGCCGGGACGGCAGAGAAGCCUGCCCGUUCCCGCCCCGAUCAGUGUCCGUUCGACAGGUCGGCCGCCAGGACGGAGAGGCAGGUGAGGUGAAGGCACGGUGGAAAUGGCACUUGAACACGUGCAGGACCCAGCUUGUCGCUGUGCAGCCAGUCCGAACCCCCGCUCCACCACCACCACCUUGGGCUACCGAGCAGGCACAGCGGGGCUUCCAGACCACGCACGCAGGCGCAGGCGAGCACCGGCACCAAGGAUGAACGAGCACACACCUCGGGAGGUUCCCUGGAGAGAUGUUGUUUGAAUCCUUUUCUUGUGACAUGAAUUCCUCUAUUUUAUUCUUCUUCAAGAUUGCUUUAACUAUUCGAGGCCCUUUGUAAAUCCAUGUGAAUUUGAGGUCUGCCUUUUCCAUCUCUGCACAAAAAGGCAGUGUUACAGAGAAAAGGGGAGACAGAGAGAGAACACUCCCGAAUGGCCACAACAGCUAGGACUGGGCAAGACUGAAACAAAGAGCCUGGAACUCCAUCUGGGUCUACCAUGCAUGGCAAGGGCCCAGGUACUUGGGCCAUCUUGCACUGUUUUCCCAGGCACAUCAGCAGGAGCUGGAUCAAAAGUGGAACAGCUGAGAUUCAAACCUGUGUCCACGUGGGAUGCCCUCUGCAGGUAGCUUAACCCAUUAACCCAUAAUGCUAGCCCCUAUUGUGACUCUUACACAUGUAUAACAAAUUUCAAAACCUUAGCUCUUGGUAAAUUUCAUACAAAUUUUUAUGAAACUAACAUAUAUUUGGCUUACAGGAUCAAAUCUGUUGGCUUCAGAAUAUGUAGGAACUUCAAAAAGUUCACGGGAAAAUAUAAAAGGGACAAGACAGAGGUACAAAACAUUUACCAAGACUGAAUGUGGGCAUGGAAAUCUUCAUGUAUUAAAAUUUGCCUAAUCUUGUCUGUUGUAACAUUCCCUUAGAUGAAGAAUCACACUGUUUUUUUCACUAACAUUGUGAAACCUUUCAACUAUAUUUUUUCUCCCAGUUUUCAUAGCUUCCAUACUUAGAUCACCAUACAUCGUUUAAGUUGUUAUAAUCUCUCAGGUUUCUCCCUUGCUUGUUUAUCUAAUGGUAUUAUCUCACCUUUUCUCUAAAAUGUACAGCAGUUUAAAUCUUAAAAAUAAUUGUUUGUAGCGGAUGUUUUACUAUCUAUGUAGUUCUCUGCUUGAUUCAAGAACAUCUACUCAACACUGAGAAUAACUUAAUUACCUCUCCUUGGCAAAUUUAAGUGUUUCUACCAAGUGUUUUUCUUGCUCUGUCCCCCAAAAAAUAUCUCUUUUUGCCUUUGAAAUUUACACGACUAAGUACCAUUUAUUGUCUGUCUUUGACACCAUUUCCUAACUAUUAUAAAAAUUAAUUUUCGGCAUAAUUUGUCUCUUUGCUAAUUUUCUUCAGGAUAGUUUCCUUAUUUCUUUUGUAUUCUUAAGACAAUGGGAGUGGAUUGCAAUGGAAACUGCAACUUACCACAGGCAUGUGAGAACUGAACAGAAAAUCAGAAGUAAAACUCUUAAUACAGGAACAGUACAAUUUCUACCUCUGGUGCCUACUCAACAGAUUCUCAAUAGAUUCAGUGCAUUUAAAUGAUGGUGAAUAGAUUUCUAAGCAAACCUUUUUUUCAACUUCCAAAGGAAGCCUCACGUCUCUUCU